AGGGUUUAAGCAUGGAACCUGGAGUCAGAAGACUUGAGUGUUGUGAGGAUUAAAAAGCCCUGACUUUACCAUCUUGUGAGAAAUAACCUCAGAUUUUCAAGGAAUAUGUCAACAAGUACUUAGAAUGUUUAAAUAUCAGAACUGUGAUCACAGAGAAUAAUGGAAAUCAGGCAUGAUCAGAUCAUCAUUUUCUUAUACAGAGAACACUAUAUUCCAAGCCUGGCAAAGGGAGCCUCACGUCCUCGAUGUCUACCUAGUCCCUCUCCUGAAAUGACCAAGAUUAAAAAUAAGCCAUUCGGGCUUCCCUGGUGGCGCAGUGGUUGAGAGUCUGCCUGCCAAUGCAGGGGACACGGGUUCGAGCCCUGGUCUGGGAAGAUCCCACAUG